UACGUAGGGCGCAAGCGUGUCCGGAAUUAUUGGGCGUAAAGAGCUCGUAGGCGGCCUGUUACGUCUGCUGUGAAAUCCCGGGGCUUAACCCCGGGCGUGCAGUGGAUACGGGCAGGCUGGAGGCAGGCAGGGGAGAACGGAAUUCCCGGUGUAGCGGUGAAAUGCGCAGAGUAUCGGGAGGAACACCGGUGGCGAAGGCGGUUCUCUGGGCCUGUACUGACGCUGAGGAGCGAAAGCGUGGGGAGCGAACAGG
rnacentral:rRNA from 1 species